GUCACACCCGUUCCCAUGCCGAACACGGAAGUUAAGCUCUUCAGCGCCGAUGGUAGUUGGGUUUCCCUGUGAGAGUAGGACGCUGCCGGGC
rnacentral:rRNA from 1 species